rnacentral:rRNA from 1 species
UACGAGGGGGGCAAGCGUUGUUCGGAAUUAUUGGGCGUAAAGGGCGCGUAGGCGGUGCGGUAUGUCUCCUGUGAAAUCUCUAGGCUCAACUUAGAGUCUGCAGGAGAAACUGCCGUGCUUGAGUGCUGGAGAGGUGAGUGGAAUUCCCGGUGUAGCGGUGAAAUGCUUAGAUAUGACACAGAACACCGAUUGCGAAGGCAGCUAGCUAAACUGUAACUGACGCUGAGGCACGAAAGCGUGGGUAGCAAACAGG